CAGCUUCUACUUUUAAUUUUAGGCGAGGCGAUCCUUUCGCCCCGUCUAUCCAUGCAGACGACACAUCUCUUUUGGAGAAAAUCGAAGCCUUGAGCACUGAGCAGACACGCUGUGGCAUCUUCUUUUCUUGCGUGAACCACGGCAAGCUUGUGGGCCCCGGAACGAGCAUUCAUAGCACUGAGUACAUUUCUGUGGAAGAAGUGAAUGUCGGUAGCCUAGGCUCGGUCGGCUUGUGAGGCCUUCGCUGGAUUUGUUUUCAUUCGUUGGAGAUAAUAUUGGCCUAGAUCUAUAUUCUUCUCAGGAGUGGACAAAUACUGAUUUCUGACCAGUUCUGGCCUGUUCAGAGAUCUCUGGAGCGUGUCUAACGUGUUUCUGUGAAUUACAUAACUCGGUUAUGCUCGGUGUGUUAUGUUUUCAGCAGUCGUCCUUGCUGUAACAUGGCGAUGAACACUGUUCUCGCCCACAGUUAGCUAACAUUACUCAGCAUGAUGGCUUGGAGACGGCUACAGGACAGCGGGACAUCCCCGGGCAGUGACCAAGACCUCCUGGGCGUCCAGCGAUAACUCACUCUCACCGCACGUGUGGUCAGUCGGUCCGUCCUUCUGGUCGUACAGGCAGGAACUCUUAACACCACCCCCCCCAACCCCACACUACCCGCUGAACCGUCGGGUGAGUGGGGCAAAAGUGUCGCCACCUAACUCACUCACUCUCCCAGGUGCUCUGAGAUCUGACCUCUGUGCUGCAGUGACGUCACGUUUUGGGUCUUCCAGUCCCGGACCGCUGUUCUGUUCUUUUUUUCUUCUUUUUUUCCCCCCCCUUUUCUUACAUUCCAGUUAUCAGCCGGUGGAGUUAUUGUGAGAUUUUUUUUUUUUUAAUUCUCAGAUUAUAAAUCAGGAGAGUUUUAUUAUAAUAAUUUCAUCUACUUCGUGUGUUCGAAGUUGGGACUGAGUACCGGUAUAAUAUUUUUGAUUGCCGGUCUGUUGUGGAUUUUUUCUUAGUUUGGAUUUUUUGUAUUGUGGGUUUUUUUUGGGUGUUUUUUUGUAGUUUGGAUAUUAAGGUGUUGGCCUCUGUACCCUGACCUCGGAAAAUAUUCGUACAUCACGUCACUGAUUGCGUCACAUAGGAGUGAGACCUGAUUGGUUAAUUUCCCAACAUGGACUCUACAAAAA